ensembl:lncRNA
GGAAGAAAUAGUAUGAGACAGAGAGAAGGAAAUAGAGAGCGACAGGCUGGGCUGAACGCAGGAAUGUAUAUGGCAUUCAAUAAUAAUAAAUUCUAUAUGCAGCCUCUUUCAAAGCAGUGAUAAUGAAGCACAAUUAAUCAGAUUAAAGAUUCAGAUACAUGCGCCUGUCCUGCUGUUUACAUUUUUCGUCCAUAAAGAGCAAAUAACCCAUGGUGUCUUUACGAAAUUUACGGCUUUAAUAAGAGAUGAUGAAGUGUAUGAAAAAAAGGGAGUAACAAAAGGAGAGGUAUGUUACUCUUUCUUUUUUGCAACAUCUUCAACGCACAGUUGCCAAAUCACAGACAAUACGGAAUUGUGCAUGUUGUGUUUGGAAAACACCUCUCAUUCUUUCAAAGCGCUUAGAAUUGAGCUCAGCUGCCAGCGAAUGGACAAUAUUGCUUUUGUCUCUUCCCUCUGCUCAGAUCUAGAGUCUGAUAACAGAUGAGAAGAUAGAGCACUGCAUCGUUUGGACUGAGACUCGAUCCUGCUUCUAUCAGUCCAGGACUGAACACUGAAGACCAAAGACCCUGGAGAACAGAUGAGAAAGAGAAGAGUGGAAAGAGAAAUAGAGAAAGAUGUGCUUCUGUAUCAAGAGAAUAGGAAUUUUCCCUUUAGUCUGCUGUGGCUGUCCAGAGCCAGGCACUAUUAUGAGCACCUCCACGAAGGAUGUCAGCGUAGAAAGGAGAGAGUGAGUGUUUGGAGGUCUCCGGGAGGCCCAGGAGAGUUUUGUCCCCAACUGCUUACUGGACUAAAAGGAAAGGACUUAAAACGACUCAUCUCUGUCAGCUCAUCAGCAUUUGACAGAUUAGCAAGACUUCCGCAGGCCAGAUUUGACACCAAACAAGUUUUCUUGGAUGGACCUCUCAUUAUAAUGCAUGUAUACUUGCUAAUUGGAGGUUCUGGUGAAUUGAGAUCAACCUAA